GCCGNNUCGUCUAGAGGCCCAGGACACCGCCCUUUCAAGGCGGCGACGGGGAUUCGAAUUCCCCUGGGGGCACCC
rnacentral:tRNA from 1 species